rnacentral:tRNA from 1 species
CACUUGGUGGUCCAGUGGUUAAGACUCUGCACUUCCACUGCUAUGGCCCGGGUUCAAUCCCUGGUCAGGAAA